rnacentral:rRNA from 1 species
CAUUUGUUCUCUAAAUAAGGACUUGUAUGAAUGGCCACACGAGGGUUUUACUGUCUCUUACUUCCAAUCAGUGAAAUUGACCUUCCCGUGAAGAGGCGGGAAUGCAUAAAUAAGACGAGAAGACCCUAUGGAGCUUUAACUAACCAACCCAAAGAAAAUAAAUUUAACCAUUAAGGAACAACAAAAAUCUCCAUGAGUUGGUAGUUUCGGUUGGGGUGACCUCGGAGAAUAAAAAAUCCUCCGAACGAUUUUAAAGACUAGACCCACAAGUCAAAUCGCUCUAUCGCUCAUUGAUCCAAAAAAUUGAUCAACGGAACAAGUUACCCUAGGGAUAACAGCGCAAUCCUAUUCAAGAGUCCAUAUCGACAAUAGGGUUUACGACCUCGAUGUUGGAUCAGGACAUCCUGAUGGUGCAACCGCUAUCAAAGGUUCGUUUGUUCAACGAUUAAAGUCCU